CGCACGGGUGAGUAACACGUAUCCAACCUGCCGUCUACUCUUGGACAGCCUUCUGAAAGGAAGAUUAAUACAAGAUGGCAUCAUGAGUUCACAUGUUCACAUGAUUAAAGGUAUUCCGGUAGACGAUGGGGAUGCGUCCCAUUAGAUAGUAGGCGGGGUAACGGCCCACCUAGUCUUCGAUGGAUAGGGGUUCUGAGAGGAAGGUCCCCCACAUUGGAACUGAGACACGGUCCAA
rnacentral:rRNA from 1 species